rnacentral:rRNA from 1 species
UACGUAGGGGUGCGAGCGUUGUCCGGAAUUAUUGGGCGUAAAGAGCUCGUAGGCGGUCUGUCGCGUCGGCUGUGAAAACUCGGGGGCUCAACCCCGAGCCUGCAGUCGAUACGGGCAGACUAGAGUGCUGUAGGGGAGACUGGAAUUCCUGGUGUAGCGGUGAAAUGCGCAGAUAUCAGGAGGAACACCGGUGGCGAAGGCGGGUCUCUGGGCAGUAACUGACGCUGAGGAGCGAAAGCGUGGGGAGCGAACAGG